AGCUGACGAUUGAAAAGAUACAUUUAAAAUAAGAAUUGGAUUUUUGACAUAUGUAAGGUUACAACAUCGAAAAAUUCUUACUUGUAUGCAUAUUUUAUCUUGUCAAUUCUUGGAAUAUCCCCUUACUUUAGAAAGACAUGCCAGCCCUCAGAAAAUGGUGGUGCACAGUACUGCUUGAGAACUUCCACCUGGAUGGGCACGGCAGAAGGUUCCCACACUUCAUUGAGGAGGCCAAACAAAUGGCGGCUGGACUACAUCCACCAGUCUUCAGACUGAAGCGAAAAAGAGAAUGAGUUGGAGCUGAUGGCAGUCAGCAUGAAGAAGCUAUAUCUUUAAGCUUCUGUCGAUUAUUUGUUAAAUACAUUUUGAGGAAACUUUGGUGUGGUUAUUCUUCAAUGUAUAUUUAUAUCAAAUUAUGAUGAUAUACUUAACAAAAAAUUUAAUUUGAUUAUCAGACAUAUUAAAACAAUUACUUAAUUCUAAAUACUUAAUUCUAAUGGUCAACUACAUAAUGAGUAAAGUGUAUAAUACACUAAAUUCCAUUAAAUAAUUGUCUACACACUAAAUUAGUUUAUUUGUCUAACGUUAAGCUAUAAAAAUGCUUACUGACAUAUUGUUUUAUUAUGUUAAUUUUUUGGCCUAAUAAGUUUAACGCAAAGAAAAAAUCCUGAGGUAUUUGUCUAAAUAACGUUAAGAAACCUUUUUUAAGCUAUAAAAAUGGUUACUAACGUGUCGAUUUUUCUUUUUCUUUCUUUGUUAUGUUAAUUCAGGCGAUAAAUCAGUUUAUUUGUCUAUAAAAAAAUAAUCAGAGGUAACUUCCGUCCAGCCACAGUACUUCCGUCCCGCCUGGGUGUUCUGUCACGCCAGGGUGUUGUUCUCCGGAGCUGCAGCUGGAUA